GAGUUUGAUCCUGGCUCAGAUUGAACGCUGGCGGCAGGCCUAACACAUGCAAGUCGAGCGGAUGACGGGAGCUUGCUCCUUGAUUCAGCGGCGGACGGGUGAGUAAUGCCUAGGAAUCUGCCUGGUAGUGGGGGACAACGUUUCGAAAGGAACGCUAAUACCGCAUACGUCCUACGGGAGAAAGCAGGGGACCUUCGGGCCUUGCGCUAUCAGAUGAGCCUAGGUCGGAUUAGCUAGUUGGUGGGGUAAUGGCUCACCAAGGCGACGAUCCGUAACUGGUCUGAGAGGAUGAUCAGUCACACUGGAACUGAGACACGGUCCAGACUCCUACGGGAGGCAGCAGUGGGGAAUAUUGGACAAUGGGCGAAAGCCUGAUCCAGCCAUGCCGCGUGUGUGAAGAAGGUCUUCGGAUUGUAAAGCACUUUAAGUUGGGAGGAAGGGCAGUAAGUUAAUACCUUGCUGUUUUGACGUUACCGACAGAAUAAGCACCGGCUAACUCUGUGCCAGCGCCG
rnacentral:rRNA from 1 species